AACGAACGCUGGCGGCAGGCCUAACACAUGCAAGUCGAGCGAGGACUUCGGUUCUAGCGGCGGACGGGUGAGUAACGCGUGGGAAUGUGCCCUUCUCUACGGAAUAGCCCUGGGAAACUGGGAGUAAUACCGUAUACGCCCUAUUGGGGAAAGAUUUAUCGGAGAAGGAUCAGCCCGCGUUGGAUUAGGUAGUUGGUGGGGUAAUGGCCUACCAAGCCGACGAUCCAUAGCUGGUUUGGGAGGAUGAUCAGCCACACUGGGACUGAGACACGGCCCAGACUCCUACGGGAGGCAGCAGUGGGGAAUCUUAGACAAUGGGGGCAACCCUGAUCUAGCCAUGCCGCGUGAGUGAUGAAGGCCUUAGGGUUGUAAAGCUCUUUCAGCUGGGAAGAUAAUGACGGUACCGGCAGAAGAAGCCCCGGCUAACUCCGUG
rnacentral:rRNA from 1 species